GACGAAGGGGGCUAGCGUUGUCCGGAAUCAUUGGGCGUAAAGAGCGUGUAGGCGGCCACUUAAGUCCUGCGUGAAAUCUUGCGGCUCAACCGCAAGCGGUCGUGGGAAACUGGGUGGCUAGAGUGCGGGAGAGGAGAGUGGAAUUCCUGGUGUAGCGGUGGAAUGCGCAGAUAUCAGGAAGAACACCCGUGGCGAAGGCGGCUCUCUGGGACGGUACUGACGCUGAGACGCGAAAGCGUGGGGAGCGAACAGG
rnacentral:rRNA from 1 species